CGCACAAGCGGUGGAGCAUGUGGUUUAAUUCGAAGCAACGCGCAGAACCUUACCAACCCUUGACAUCCCGAUCGCGGACAUCAGAGAUGAAGUUCCUUCAGUUCGGCUGGAUCGGAGACAGGUGCUGCAUGGCUGUCGUCAUGCCGUGACGUAAGAUGUUGGGUUAAGUCCCGCAACGCGCGCAACCCUGGCCUUUAGUUGCCAUCAUCUAGUUGGGCACUCUAAGGGGACUUCCGGUGAUAAGCCGGAGGAAGGUGGGGAUAACGUCAAGUCCUCAUGGCCCUUACG
rnacentral:rRNA from 1 species